UAUUAAAAAUCGCAUCUAUUUCUACAGUUGAAAAUUAACAUGCAUGAUAGAAUAACUAUACAAUUACAUAUAACAUGUCACGUAUAUCUCAUUCUGAUGUACAUGGACUAAUUUUUAGUUGCAAAAAUAGAUAAAACUUUAAACA
rfam:Gossypium raimondii Chr09_contig_1116, whole genome shotgun sequence.